AAACGGCCCAUAAGAGUUAAGAGCAUAGUGAUGAAACGACGCGUUUAAAAGCGUAAAGAAUAGGAGACGGGCAAUGGCGGCGCUGCCUUGUUCCGUUACGGUCUUCUUCUCUGAAUCAUCGUCUUAGGCUUUGCAGAAUUUCAUUUCUCUUUGAUUGCUAUACUGUACAACCAUUCCAUUCUUUCGCUCGGUAACUCGCCAAGUCAAAUCAAUAUCCUGAGCUUCCAGCGAUUCGAUAUUUCAGAGCAAGCAAGCACUCAAGCAACUGCAAUGGGUAUAAUCAGGAGUACAUUCUCUUUCAUUGCAGGGACAGCCUUUGGGGUUUACUUGGCUCAGAAUUAUCAAAUCCCUAACAUCAGGAAGUUAGCUGACACUGCCUUGUUACAGGCAAAGCAAAUUGAGGAAAAAUAUCGUAAGUCUAAGAAGAAGGGUGGUGAUGAUGAUUAACUAUGAUUAGAAUGUCCAUGUUCCCCCACAUUGGAAUCAGGUUCUUGUUUUUGUAUUUUUGGUUUUAGUCCGGCAUCUUAUAGGAUCAGGUACCUAUAUUGACUAGAGUACUUGGAAAACACAAAUUAGUGGAAGAUCUUUAUACAAGCAAGUGUUAUUCGCAUUUAUAAACUUGUUAUUGAGUCCAAUUUUCACGGGAAAUGUUAUCAUUCUUUUGUCUUUCUUGUUCCAAAAUUUGAUUUAAAAUUACAAGUUGAAGAAGUGUAAUGUGAGUUAUACUCAGAUUCCUAAACAUUGGAUAAUGUUUGCUCCAAGUCAGAAAUUUGUUUAAUGAUAAUCAGAAUUGUAUAGCCCGGGGAGUAUUAUGCCGGUAAUGACAAUUAAAA